ensembl:lncRNA
CUGGAGCUUCCUCAGGAUCAGGCUGAAGGCAGCCCUGGGCUGAGACCACAUCCCUGCCUUUCUUCCAUCUUUCAUCCCGUUCUGCUUCCCUCACUGUCCUCUUCCCUGGAGCUCUCUGCAUCUCAGAAUCCAGUCUCAGGCUUGCUGUCUAGGGCGCUCCGCUUCACUGUCUGAUGUAUUAAGGGUGAUACGAUCCUCUCAGUGAGCCUCUGACACAGAAUAACGACAAUGUAAUGAUAGGAACACUGCUAACAACAGCACUGAUUCUCCUCUGCAGACUCAGGGAGGUAAGUGAGCAGCCCAGGGCCAAAUCCAGCAUUUGCUCUGAAGUUCUUGUUCGAACAAUAUGACUCCUGACCUUUCCAUGCAGAUGGUCACAGGUAUUUGCAAGUUCAAAUGUUUUCUGCUUUUCUCUUCUUUGGGGGCCAAUCAUGGACUUGGUAAACAGUACUGACCGGUAGGCCAGGGAGCAGCCACCUGCAGUGACCAUGGGCAGAGGGAUAAAGGACACCUGGACACUGGGGAGACAGAGCGAGGUGUUUAUUCAUCAAAUGCAGAUCCACAUCAAAUGCUGGGAGGAAGAAGUAGCUCUUCCUGGAAAAUCUGAAGACCUCUGCCAUGGGAUACAGCAGGGAAUUUCAGCUGUUUGUCCUGAGGUUCUUGGUUUCUAGAGUCCUUCCAUGUGCCCAUCAUUGCUUCUGUGACUGCAGCUCCGGCUGGUGGGACCCCAUCUUCUAACAGGAGACUAGAGGAAGGGACUGGCGCCGCUUCAUGGCUUCUUCUGUCUGGAGGAUGCCCUUUGCAGACACAGUGCUGCCGGGCUCCACAGCCUCCAGGGCUGAGGCUGCAGGACCCACAGUGAAUGAAGCAUGGUCCUCAGACUGAGAGACAUUUCAUUCUCGGUACUCAGUUCUUUGGUACCUAUAAUGGAAG